rnacentral:rRNA from 1 species
GAGUUUGAUCCUGGCUCAGAUUGAACGCUGGCGGCAGGCCUAACACAUGCAAGUCGAGCGGUAGAGAGAAGCUUGCUUCUCUUGAGAGCGGCGGACGGGUGAGUAAUGCCUAGGAAUCUGCCUGGUAGUGGGGGAUAACGCUCGGAAACGGACGCUAAUACCGCAUACGUCCUACGGGAGAAAGCAGGGGACCUUCGGGCCUUGCGCUAUCAGAUGAGCCUAGGUCGGAUUAGCUAGUUGGUGAGGUAAUGGCUCACCAAGGCGACGAUCCGUAACUGGUCUGAGAGGAUGAUCAGUCACACUGGAACUGAGACACGGUCCAGACUCCUACGGAGGCAGCAGUGGGGAUAUUGGACAAUGGGCGAAAGCCUGAUCCAGCCAUGCCGCGUGUGUGAAGAAGGUACUUCGGAUUGUAAAGCACUUUAAGUUGGGAGGAAGGGCAGGUAAAUUAAUACUUUGCUGUUUUGACGUUACCGACAGAAUAAGCACCAGCUAACUCUGUGCCAG